rnacentral:tRNA from 1 species
GGUGGCUCAGUGGUAGAGCACUUGCCUUGCAUGCAUGAGGCCCUGGGUUCGAUUCCUCAGUACCACCA